rnacentral:rRNA from 1 species
GUCCAGACUCCUACGGGAGGCAGCAGUGGGGAAUAUUGCACAAUGGGGGAAACCCUGAUGCAGCGACGCCGCGUGAGCGAUGAAGUAUUUCGGUAUGUAAAGCUCUAUCAGCAGGGAAGAAAAUGACGGUACCUGACUAAGAAGCCCCGGCUAACUACGUGCCAGCAGCCGCGGUAAUACGUAGGGGGCAAGCGUUAUCCGGAUUUACUGGGUGUAAAGGGAGCGUAGACGGCGAUGCAAGCCAGAUGUGAAAGCCCGGGGCUCAACCCCGGGACUGCAUUUGGAACUGUGUGGCUGGAGUGUCGGAGAGGCAGGCGGAAUUCCUAGUGUAGCGGUGAAAUGCGUAGAUAUUAGGAGGAACACCAGUGGCGAAGGCGGCCUGCUGGACGAUGACUGACGUUGAGGCUCGAAAGCGUGGGGAGCAAACAGGAUUAGAUACCCGAGUA